GAUAAACGCUAGCGGCAGGCCUAACACAUGCAAGUCGAGGGGUAACGAUGUCUUCGGACAGUCGACGACCGGCGCACGGGUGAGUAUCGCGUUUGUAACCUACCUUUAACUGGAGAAUAGCCCGAAGAAAUUCGGAUUAAUACUCCAUAAUACUAUGAACUGGCAUCUUUUUAUAGUUAAAGCUCCGGCGGUUAAAGAUGGGCAUGCGUAACAUUAGUUUGUUGGUGAGGUAACGGCUCACCAAGACUACGAUGUUUAGGGGGUCUGAGAGGAUGAUCCCCCACACUGGUACUGAGACACGGACCAGACUCCUACGGGUGGCAG
rnacentral:rRNA from 1 species